GAUGAACGCUGGCGGCGUGCCUAAUACAUGCAAGUCGAGCGAACGGACGAGAAGCUUGCUUCUCUGAUGUUAGCGGCGGACGGGUGAGUAACACGUGGAUAACCUACCUAUAAGACUGGGAUAACUUCGGGAAACCGUAGCUAAUACCGGAUAAUAUUUUGAACCGCAUGGUUCAAAAGUGAAAGACGGUCUUGCUGUCACUUAUAGAUGGAUCCGCGCUGCAUUAGCUAGUUGGUAAGGUAACGGCUUACCAAGGCAACGAUGCAUAGCCGACCUGAGAGAGUGAUCGGCCACACUGGAACUGAGACACGGUCCAGACUCCUACGGGAGGCAGCAGUAGGGAAUCUUACGCAAUGGGCGAAAGCCUGACGGAGCAACGCCGCGUGAGUGAUGAAGGUCUUCGGAUCGUAAAACUCUGUUAUUAGGGAAGAACAUAUGUGUAAGUAACUGUGCACAUCUUGACGGUACCUAAUCAGAAAGCCACGGCUAACUACGUG
rnacentral:rRNA from 1 species